AACGAACGCUGGCGGCGUGCCUAACACAUGCAAGUCGCGCGAGAAAGCCCGCAAGGGUGAGUAAAGCGGCGCACGGGUGCGUAACACGUGGAUAAUCUGCCUGGAAGACCGGAAUAACCUUCCGAAAGGAGGGCUAAUACCGGAUAAGACCACGGGGACCUGGGUCCUUGAGGGAAAAAGGUGGCCUCUGUAUACAAGCUACCACUUUCAGAUGAGUCCGCGGCCCAUCAGCUAGUUGGCGGGGUAACGGCCCGCCAAGGCAAUGACGGGUAGCUGGUCUGAGAGGACGAUCAGCCACACUGGAACUGAGACACGGUCCAGACUCCUACGGGAGGCAGCAGUGGGGAAUCUUGCACAAUGGGCGAAAGCCUGAUGCAGCAACGCCGCGUGAGUGAUGAAGGUCUUCGGAUCGUAAAGCUCUUUCGGCCGGGACGAAAACGGCAUGGCUGACAUCCAUGUCCUUGACGGUACCGGAAGAAGAAGCACCGGCUAACUCUGUGCCAGCAGCCGCAGUAACAC
rnacentral:rRNA from 1 species